GACGAACGCUGGCGGCGUGCCUAACACAUGCAAGUCGAGCGAGUCUGCCUUGAAGAUCGGAGUGCUUGCACUCUGUGAAACAAGAUACAGGCUAGCGGCGGACGGGUGAGUAACACGUGGGUAACCUGCCCAAGAGAUCGGGAUAACACCUGGAAACAGAUGCUAAUACCGGAUAACAACAGAUGAUGCCUAUCAACUGUUUAAAAGAUGGUUCUGCUAUCACUCUUGGAUGGACCUGCGGUGCAUUAGCUAGUUGGUAGGGUAACGGCCUACCAAGGCGAUGAUGCAUAGCCGAGUUGAGAGACUGAUCGGCCACAUUGGGACUGAGACACGGCCCAAACUCCUACGGGAGGCAGCAGUAGGGAAUCUUCCACAAUGGACGCAAGUCUGAUGGAGCAACGCCGCGUGAGUGAAGAAGGGUUUCGGCUCGUAAAGCUCUGUUGUUGGUGAAGAAGGACAGGGGUAGUAACUGACCUUUGUUUGACGGUAAUCAAUUAGAAAGUCACGGCUAACUACGUGCCAGCAGCCGCGGUAAUACGUAGGUGGCAAGCGUUGUCCGGAUUUAUUGGGCGUAAAGCGAGUGCAGGCGGCUCGAUAAGUCUGAUGUGAAAGCCUUCGGCUCAACCGGAGAAUUGCAUCAGAAACUGUCGAGCUUGAGUACAGAAGAGGAGAGUGGAACUCCAUGUGUAGCGGUGAAAUGCGUAGAUAUAUGGAAGAACACCGGUGGCGAAGGCGGCUCUCUGGUCUGUUACUGACGCUGAGGCUCGAAAGCAUGGGUAGCGAACAGG
rnacentral:rRNA from 1 species